AUUGAACGCUGGCGGCAUGCUUUACACAUGCAAGUCGAACGGUAACAGGCCGCAAGGUGCUGACGAGUGGCGAACGGGUGAGUAAUGCAUCGGAACGUGCCCAGUCGUGGGGGAUAACUACUCGAAAGAGUAGCUAAUACCGCAUACGAUCUAUGGAUGAAAGCGGGGGACCGUAAGGCCUCGCGCGAUUGGAGCGGCCGAUGUCAGAUUAGGUAGUUGGUGGGGUAAAGGCUCACCAAGCCAACGAUCUGUAGCUGGUCUGAGAGGACGACCAGCCACACUGGGACUGAGACACGGCCCAGACUCCUACGGGAGGCAGCAGUGGGGAAUUUUGGACAAUGGGCGCAAGCCUGAUCCAGCAAUGCCGCGUGCAGGAAGAAGGCCUUCGGGUUGUAAACUGCUUUUGUACGGAACGAAACGGCUCUGGUUAAUACCCGGGGCUAAUGACGGUACCGUAAGAAUAAGCACCGGCUAACCACGUG
rnacentral:rRNA from 1 species